rnacentral:lncRNA from 1 species
GGCCGCCGGCGGCGCGGGAGAGGCGGGCCCGGGCCGCGCCAGCGCUGCCGCUCCGCCCGCCGCGGCCCCGGCGCCGCCGGGCGAUGCCCGAGCGUUGCCACGGCAACCGCGCCCCCCCCUCCGCGCCGCUCGGCCCCACGUGACCCGCGGCGGCGCUCGCGGCCAACCCGCCUGUUACCAGGGCGGGGGCGUGCAGGGGGGGUGCUCUUGUUUCCCAUUGGCUGCUGCCGGAGCUCGCUGAUUGGCGGGGGGCGGCCGGGCGGCGCGCCGAUUGGAUGGGCCCGGAGGUGAGGUUGUGGGGUGAUGCCGGCCGCCCCGCGCAGCGCCGGGACACAGACAAAGGCUGCCCAAAGGCUGCCCAAAGGCUGCCCGACCUCUCCCCGCGACCCGGGGCUGGCGCGGCGCGGGACGGCAGCGGGGGAGCUCUCGGCGCGCUGCUGGGAGGCGGCUACGCGAGCCUGGCCGAGCGCCCGGGGGCCCUGCGCCCUCCCCGCCCGGCCGCCCGCUCCUACUGGCGCUGGGGCACGCGGCGUGCGGGGGGGCGGAGCCGGUGUCACGCUCGCCGCGCGCCCGGCAGCCAAUGGGCGGGCCGGGAGAACGCGGGCAGCACGCGGGGCCCGCGUGUCCCCGCGCAAGGGCUGUCAAUCACCUGUCAGUCACUCGCCCCGCCCCGGCGCGGCCCGGGGGGAGGGCCCGCAGCGCUGCUCUGUCACGGUGCCCCUCGCUGCGAUCCCCGCCCGGGGCGGGACCGGCGCUCGGCAGCGUUCCGUGGCCGCCGUUGCUUUGUCCCAGGGUUGGGGUGCGAGGCAGCCGCCGCCGCACUGCAGCGGCUCCCCUGGGGACUCAGCCCCGCAGUUUCUGCCGCCAGCACCAACCCGCGCGGCCCGGGCCUCUCGGGAUGCCCGCGGUGCGGGCUGUGCUCCCGGCGCCCUCCCCCGGCGGGGGGCGAGAGGCGGAGCCGGCGCGGCGGCCGCCCGCCGCCUUUAUCUGGCGUGGCGGCGCGGGGGGUGGCACUGGGGAACACCUUUUUGUAAGAUACGCGCUAUAAAUACGGCGCCGGGGAUGGGAGCGCGGCCACGGGCGGCGGGAAACAGCUCCGGAUUACGGACUCUGAUCGUGAGCAGCCGCCGAGCCCAACCCGCGGCGGAGGGCGGCCGGUGCCGCUAGCGCGGAGGAGGAGGAAGAGGUCGCCGCCGGAGGAGCCCCGCGGUCCGGUCCCAGCCGCCUCGCUGAGCACGCCUGCCCGGCCGCCAACAUGAUGCAGAUCUGCGACUCGUACAGCCAGAAGUACUCCCUCUUCAACGCCAUGAAUCGCUUCAUCGGCGCCGUCAAUAACAUGGACCAGACGGUGAUGGUGCCCAGCCUGCUGCGCGACGUGCCGCUGCUGCUGGAGGAACUGGACGCGGCGGGCGCCGUGUGCCCGCCCCGGGAUGCUGCCCUGCCGCCCGGCGACCCCGGCGCCUACUUCUCCCGCAGGGACAUGUACAGCCACUACAUGCUGCUCAAGUCCAUCCGCAACGACAUCGAGUGGGGCGUGGUGCAGCCGGCGGCGGGCGAGGAGGCCGCCCGCAAGAAGGACAAGCUGGGCGGCGGGCCCGCCGAGGAUGGCGAGGGGGAGGAGGACCUGGAGCAGCAGUUCCAUUACCACCUCAGCGGACUCCACUCGGUCCUCUCCAAGCUCACCCGCAAGGCCAACGUCCUUACCAACAGAUACAAGCAGGAGAUCGGCGUCAGCAGCUGGGGGCAGUGAGCGCCGGGGGGGAGCGGGGCGAGGGGCUCGCUGCCCGGCGCUGCCGCUGCUGCUUCGGUGGCCGAGGGCAGCGCCCCGGGCCGAGGCUUCCGUGCGCGCUCCCAGGACUGCAGCAGGUUUUCUAUCAACGCACAAGCGAGAAAGAGAUGUAAAUUAAUCAGUACUAGUUUAUUAAUUAUUUUGACCCCCCCCGUGUUUUUUUCAUUGUACGGUUCGGGGCGAGCGGUCGCUGUUCCCGCCUGGGUGGGGACGCUGAACCCCUACGUGUACGAGGUGGUGGCAUUGCUGGCUGAGAAGGAGGCUCUGCUGAAGCCGAUGAACAUAACGAAACUAGCACAAAAUUGCUUCUGUUACCCCGGAGGGAACCCAGUGAGCUAAGGAGCAUCCCUCUGUUGUGGGAGAGAUGGCGAGUCCCACGGUUGUACAUGUACUGGAGUUUAUUUAAAACUUUUUUACUCAGAUGUAGAGUAUAUUCUAAAAUAAAUGCAAAUGUAUUAACUAAGAGUGACCUAAACUUUUGGUAUGAUUUAUCUUUCUUUAAUUAAAUGAUAUUUUUAACAUCUGGAAUUCUUCUGUUUUUCUUCUAUGUUACAGUCAGAGCUGCCUUACUAGAUAGGAAGUCUGCGUGUGCAAGAGAGGGGCUUUUGUGGCCUUUUUUUUCCCCAUCAAAGGGAGCAAUUAGGCAGUGAUGAGAUAACUUGGCAUAUCUAAACUGUUUGAACGACCAUACUAAAUUUAACCAUUUGAGUUUUGGUAAGCUGUUCCCAGCUGCACAGUGCAGUUGCUCUAUGUGAGUGUUGGCUUGAAGGUCAGUGCCUCUUUAACAAAAUCUGAGAAGAGUGAGUCAUGGUUACUCUGCAGGCAGCGAUUCAUGGAAGUUGGAGCAAAGCCUAGGAAUGACUCUUGCUUUUUUUGGGAAGUAUCUUAAUGUACUGUGGGGACCUCUUUUCUCUCCCUCCGAAUAGGUCUGGCAGACUUGCCUCCCCAGUCUCUUGCAUUUCUUUCCUUUAAUCCUCCUUGGAUACCAUGAAUUAAUCGGUUUUGUGUUAUCCAGAUUGUAUUGAUUUCUUUCUCUCUACUUUUUUUCCCAUUUGUUGAAGUAAAGUACCUCGGAAUUGGAUGUCUAUAUUGUGUUCUAAUAUUAAGUUCUGAUAUUAAAGUGCACUUACUGAUUGUGAUACAAUAUAUAACAGAGGAUAAAUGUUUAAUAAAUAUGUGAGUCCUUACAUAAUGUAAGUUUUCUUCUCAGGCACUGGGAUGCCAAGUCUGUAGACAUUUUAUACUGAGAUUUCACUUUGUAUUAUUGUCAUCAAAUAUAGGGCUUGUUUAGUGGUGUUGGUUUGGGGGUUUUUUUCUCUUAAAAAUAGAAUAAUUUUUCUCUUCAAUGAUAUUUUUGUUUAAAUUGAAAUAUUCCCUAGCACUUUAUUUUUCAGCCCAACUGUUAGGACAUUGUAGUAAAGCAUGAGCACUCCAGACAUGGAGUAGGCAGACAUUUGUGUAAGUUAAAAUUAUCAGCCUACAUCUAUGCUUAAAAAUACGUAUUUUAGAAGGUUUUUCUCUUCUGGGGUAAACAAGAACUUUGUAAGGCUGGAUAAUUUUUAGUUUGGCGAUGCUUGUUCUUUUCAUAAUGUUUUUAACUCCUCUUCCCCUCCCCUCUUGGGAAAAUGCCAGGAAAAAAAGUCAGGAACAGGGAAAGGGAUUACCCUGGUUUCCUAACAUGGCUUGCCAGUCUUUCCACAGUCAGACUAAUGCAAUGCAAAAGAUGUGGUGCCCUGUGCUGGAUGGUAAAGUUUUGUUCUGAAGUCAAGGGUGAGAGGGAGAACCUGUUCUGCUGUGUGGCUCCCUUCUGGCCUUGCACUCCAUCAGCUGGAAACCACAUUACAGCCUCUGCUGGGGAACGCCGGCGAAACCUCAGACAAAAGCACCUCAUGUAGUUUCACCCGUGUGCCUUUUGAUCUCCUGGUAACUUCUCCUGGUAUGGGUUUAGACAAUACUGUUUAAAUGUUGCACAAGAGACAGUGUGAUGCUGAUUUAGACUAUGAGUAAUGUCACAAAAAUAGUGUUACAUUAGUGCAGCACAGCCAUGAGUAUUGCAUCCAUUACCUUUGCAUUCUAAAAAAAAACGAGAAAAGUUUCGGUGGAAGAGCAGCUGAAAUCUAGUGCAUUUCCUUACCAGUAAAGCUUUGGGUAACAGGACAAGGAGGAUUCUGUGAUUCAAGGGUUUGCCUUGCCUCUCUCUGUGACUAAGCUGCAGUUGCUGAACUGCACGUGGCUCCCAUGUGGGGGCCCAGCUGCUGGGCUGGCAGCAGCCCUGAUAAUCCCAACUCAGCCAUGCAAAACCUGCAGAGAGUCACACCAGCUGAAGAGACUCCACCACCUCCCACCUGGGAGCUGCUUUAGAGUUUCCCCUUCUCAAGGUCAUGGGAGAGGAUUGAGGCUCUCGGGAUCAAGAAAGUGAUCUCUUAAUGCAGGGUGAAGGCAACAAGAGAUAAAACCAGGGAUGUAUUGCUCAUGCAAAGGACAAGGGAUGAGACUUUGCUGCUGGCUGUUGUGUAAAACAACUUGGCCUAAAAGGUGGGGUGGUCAGGCAAUUACAUGAAUGCUGACUCCUAGCAUUGCAGUAAGCAAGGACGAGAUUGCAGUCUUAAUGCAGAUUUUGUGUGUUAGAUGCUGAAUUGGAAAAAAUUUCCAUGAGCAGCACUCAAAUAUACAUCAAUUAGGUUUAUUAUUAAGGAAUUAUGUUUCCUUUUGAAGGACUGAAUCACUUUAAGUCUCCCAAUUAUAUACAGAGUUCAGCAAACCUUUAGGCUGCUCUGGUAAAGUGAUUCUGGUGCUUGUAAGUGUUAAUGAUGAAUUACAUCGGUCUAAUGUAAAAAGUGUCUUUAUGAUCUCAAAUACUUUGGGAAGUGACUUAGUUUCUUAGCCACACACAGGCAAAAAGACAACUUGCCAAGCUACCACAUCUGUGCUCAAACCAGGGGAUAUCCACAUGCACUGUGAGAAGCAGUUGUCAUUUCUAGCUCACUUAAGUGAAAUAGACUCCAUAUAGAGUAAGGCAGACAUUAGAAGAGCAAUAAAUAAUGAGAUUCAGAACUGUUUGCACUAACAAAUUGAUUACAGCAGAAGGUAUCUUACAGCCAAGGAGCCUCAAGAACAUUGCUCAUGGCAUGCAUCACUUAAUAUAUAAAAGUGCACAGUAUCUGUCAUUAUAGUUCAUGAGUCAACUCUUGUUUUUAUGUUUACAAAACGAGGACAAAUGAGGGGAAAUCCAUGCUUUUUUCUCUCUCUCUGUGUAUAAAAAUAAGGGCCUUGGGGAUGGGUGUGGCUUCCAUGGGAAGAACAAGAAUCGUGGGCUGAUCAGUGCUUGGUGGAAGCAGAUGAGGCUGAGUCAGGCUACGCUGUCACCUUCCUACUUUCCCUCUGAAAGCUCUUCCUUGCAGAGGGUUCUAACUACGUCAAGAUACGUGUGUUAAGUGGUUUGUGUCCUCCCCCCCUGCACAGGCUCUUGCACCAAGACAACAUGAGUCAUCAGCAGAUUGGCUUUGCUGAAAUAUGCACUAGUGUUAGUGGUCAGAGGGGAGGUUGUGUUAGGAUCUUAUUUUCCUGUACGUAAGCUCUGCACCCUGUUCUACCGGAAAAAAAAAGUAAUAAAGCAUCUCCUUUCUAUGCCUCUGGAUUUGGUACAGAGCUAAUCUCUUUGUGGAAAACUCUGCAGCAAUUUUCCCUCACUGACUUAUUUCCCUGAAGUCUUGAGUAUGGGA